GACGAACGCUGGCGGCGUGCUUAACACAUGCAAGUCGAACGAAGUGGCGAACGGGUGAGUAACGCGUAAUCAACCUGCCCUUCAGCGGGGGACAACAGUUGGAAACGACUGCUAAUACCGCAUACUGAAGGAGGUGAUUGCGUCUGAUUAGCUAGCUGGAGGGGUAACGGCCCAACAAGGCGAUGAUCAGUCGCCGGUCUGAGAGGAUGAACGGCCAAAGUGGGACUGAGACACGGCCCAGACUCCUACGGGAGGCAGCAGUGGGGAAUCGUCCGAAAUGGAAGAAAGUCUUACGGAGCAACGCCGCGUGAGGGAUGACGGCCUUCGGGUUGUAAAGCUCUGUUAAUCGGGACGCGGUACCGGAAUAGAAAGCCACGGCUAACUACGUGCCAGCAGCCGCGGUAAUAC
rnacentral:rRNA from 1 species